rnacentral:tRNA from 1 species
GCCGGCUUAGCUCAGCUGGUAGAGCAACUGAUUUGUAAUCAGUAGGUCACGGGUUCGACUCCUGUAGCCGGCACCA